rnacentral:lncRNA from 1 species
GGAGGCAUAUGCACACGUUACGGGGCCGCAUACGGAGCGGUUUUUGUAAGGAUUACGGAGAACCUGACGGGGUCUGUGAAAGCCGUACCCUUCUUGGCUUACCGGUGGAGGAGCCAGUAGACACUUGUGCUAUCCAUCCUGCUGCGCUUGCAUUGGCCAAACUGGCUGUGGCACUGCUGUUAAUGGGGUUCAACAGAGGAUACGCCCCCGCAAGACAAUGGCCGGCAAGGGACCCGCCAAACCGAAGACUAAGGCUAAGGUGUGUCGCAUGUACUAGCCUCAAAACUGAUAUUAAUAUAAGUCGUAAAAUCAGCUGCAACAGAAUGGAAUGACAUUGUGCUUUCAGGGGCGAGACGCGAAAGGUCGACUUGAGCAUCCGUUCCGCGCCACCGUCACUUCGUUGUGAACAGUCGUGUCAGUAAUGACCAGACAGUGCUGAUAUUCCCCGUCGAUGAUGUGGAUGGGCGAAGCAAGUAGGAGAGGUUACCAGCAUCGGGGGCGGAACCUUGCGCAGCAUAGGCCAUGAUACUGUCUCGGACGACGCUUCGGAUUAGUUUUUCUACUAACUGCUAGAAACUACAUAAGCCUGAGGACAAGGGCUGGCUGCCUAUCCAGCUGAUGCCAUUACCAAUGCCCGAACUUUGUGGUGGCAGAAGUUCUGGGUUAGGAAAGUUGAUACCAUACGAAUGUAAUGUAAAGCUCUUUCAUUCCAAUCGAUGACGUCCAGCACUACGCCGAGAACUGAAAGGAGCAAAGCCAAAAUUGCAGAUACGGCUGAUAGCGGAUUACGACUACUUCGAGAUUAUCCAGAAGCGUGUCCUAUAUUAAAUUACGAUUUAGCUUACGC